GAUGAAGAACGCAGUGAAAUGCGAUAAGUAAUGUGAAUUGCAGAAUUCAGUGAAUCAUCAAAUCUUUGAACGCACAUUGCGCCCCCUGGUAUUCCGGGGGGCAUGCCUGUCCGAGCGUCAUUACAACCCUCAAGCUCAGCUUGGUAUUGGGCCCCGCCGACCCGGCGGGCCCUAAAGUCAGUGGCGGUGCCGUCCGGCUCCGAGCGUAGUAAUUCUUCUCGCUCUGGAGGUCCGGUCGUGUGCUCGCCAGCAACCCCCAAUUUUUUUCAGGUUGACCUCGGAUCAGGUAGGGAUACCCGCUGAACUUAAGCAUAUCAAUAAGCGGAGGA
rnacentral:misc_RNA from 1 species